rnacentral:rRNA from 1 species
CCUACGGGAGGCAGCAGUGGGGAAUAUUGGACAAUGGGGGCAACCCUGAUCCAGCCAUGCCGCGUGUGUGAAGAAGGCCCUCGGGUUGUAAAGCACUUUCAGUGAGGAAGAACGCCUGGUGGUUAAUACCCAUCAGGAAAGACAUCACUCACAGAAGAAGCACCGGCUAACUCCGUGCCAGCAGCCGCGGUAAUACGGAGGGUGCGAGCGUUAAUCGGAAUUACUGGGCGUAAAGCGCGCGUAGGUGGCUUGAUAAGCCGGUUGUGAAAGCCCCGGGCUCAACCUGGGAACGGCAUCCGGAACUGUCAAGCUAGAGUGCAGGAGAGGAAGGUAGAAUUCCCGGUGUAGCGGUGAAAUGCGUAGAGAUCGGGAGGAAUACCAGAGGCGAAGGCGGCCUUCUGGACUGACACUGACACUGAGGUGCGAAAGCGUGGGUAGCAAACAGGAUUAGAUACCCGGGUAGUC